AACUCACCAGGUCCUUUAUAUGGAAACUCAUUCAAUUCCCUGAUUCCCCUCACCUUCCCGCUGGAUGGUGAUCGAACUCGAUUUCUACCCUUUUAAUUCAAAUCCCUGAUUCCCCUUACCUUCCCGCUGGAUGGCGAUCGAACUCGAUUUCUACCUUUUUAAUUCAAAUCCCUGAUUCCCCUCACCUUCCCGCUGGAUGGCGAUCGAACUCGAUUUCUACCUUUUUAAUUCAAAUGUUCGUUCAUUAGGUUUUUUGGAGAACUGUCGUUUCACUUUGUUCGACUGUUCACAUCAUGGGUCGUGGGAAGGCGAAAGAUUUUCCACUCGAUUUUGGUAAUGCCAUUAUUGUUCAAGAUACUGAUUCUGACCAGUUUAAUUCGCCGGUGAAAAAGCAAACUAAGGUUGUUAACCCACGUCUUUCGUGUAGUGAGAAAGGAAAAUCAAAAGAACUUAUGUUUCCUAUUAUUCGUGGAUCGUCGUCUACAGGUGCCAAACGGAAUCUAAAUA